UUCCGGUUGAUCCUGCCGGAGGCUACCGCUAUUGGAGUUCGACUAAGCCAUGCGAGUCGUGAGUCCUAGGGACUCGGCGUACCGCUCAGUAACACGUGGGUAACCUGCCCUAUGCUGGGGAAUAACCUCGGGAAACUGAGAAUAAUGCCCCAUAGUUCACCACACCUGGAACGGUGGGUGGAUGAAAGCUCCGGCGGCAUAGGAUGGGCCUGCGGCGUAUCAGGUUGUAGGGGGUGUAAUGUACCCUCUAGCCAUCUACGCGUACGGGUGUUGAGAGACAUCGCCCGGAGAUGGAUUCUGAGACACGAAUCCAGACCCUACGGGGUGCAGCAGGCGCGAAAACUUGGCAAUGCGAGCAAUCGUGACCAGGGAACUCCAAGUGUAUCGGGUAAGACCGAUGCUUUUCUUGACUCUUCAAAGGUCUUGGAAUAAGGGGUGGGUAAGGACGGUGCCAGCCGCCGCGGUAAUACCGGCGCCUCAAGUGGUAGUCGCUUUUAUUGGGCCUAAAACGUCCGUAGCCGGUUUGGUACAUUCGUGGGUAAAUCAAGACGCUCAACGUCUUGAAUUCUGCGAGCACGGCCAGACUUGGGACCGGGUGAGGUGUGGGGUACUCUCAGGGUAGGGGUAAAAUCCUGUCAUCCUGAGAGGACCACCUGUUGCGAAGGCGCCACACUAGAACGGAUCCGACGGUCAGGGACGAAGCCUAGGGGCACGAACCGGAUUAGAUACCCGGGUAGUCCUAGGUGUAAACGCUGUGGACUUGAUGUUUGGGAGUGCUCCGAGCACCCUCAGUGUCGAAGCGAAGGUGAUAAGUCCACUGCCUGGGGAGUACGGUCGCAAGGCUGAAACUUUAAAGGAAUUGGGCGGGGGGAGCACUGCAACCCUGAGGAUUGUGCGGUUUAAUUUGGAGUCAACGCCGGGA
rnacentral:rRNA from 1 species